AUGAGCGGGAUUCAGGGCACCAGGACCUACCCAGGCGCGGGGGACACCUCUGACCUUAAGUACCCCUUGGCGACCAGGCUCAGGGAAGCUCUCACCGAGGCUCGGUUCCAUCAGCUCUUCAGGGGCGAAGAGCAGGAACCGGAGCUACCUGAAGAGCGCGGCUUUCCCCGGCUCUUCGGGCUGUGGAGGCUGCGGGCUCGCGCUUGUUCCGGGACAGGGGCGUGGCGCCUGCUGCUGGCUCGGCUGCCCGCGCUGCACUGGCUGCCCCAUUACCGCUGGCGGGCCUGGCUGCUCGGAGAUGCGGUGGCCGGAGUGACCGUGGGCAUCGUGCACGUGCCCCAGGGCAUGGCUUUUGCUCUCCUGGCCUCCGUGCCCCCGGUGUUUGGACUCUACACUUCUUUCUUCCCCGUCCUCAUCUAC
ensembl:lncRNA novel transcript